UACGUAGGGUCCAAGCGUUAUCCGGAAUCACUGGGCGUAAAGCGUGCGUAGGUGGAUGUUUAAGUGAGAGGUUAAAUCGUGUGGCUCAACCAUAUCGAUGCCUCUCAUACUGGGCAUCUAGAGGACAGCAGAGGCAAGUGGAACUGGUAGUGUAGCAGUGAAAUGCGUAGAUAUUACCAAGAACACCAAUGGCGAAGGCAGCUUGCUGGGCUACUCCUGACACUGAGGUACGAAAGCGUGGGGAGCGAACAGG
rnacentral:rRNA from 1 species